CCGGAAAGAGCAUCAUCUUACCAUGAAGAUACUAAGUUCGACUUUGUUCACUUUGGUAUUGUUGGCAAGUACGAGCAAGUGCUUGGCACAUACACCAGCCGCACACAAGACUGUGAUCGUUCCGGGUGAUGGAGUUUUUCCCCUUUGGUGGUCUUCAGCCGCUUACAUAUGGGGAUUUAUUAAGCUUGGUUACAUCUUUGCUGGAUUGCUGGCGCUUUACGUCUACCGACAUUGGGCGUAUGAUUCGGAGCCAGAUUAUGGAAAUUAUUACGGAUAUAAACAAUAUGAUUCUUUGAAAGGUCGAUCGGUUGAUGUGAAUGUUGAUGAGAAAAUAAUGGGUUUCGGUUCAAAAUUUAAGUGAAUGUUGUGUUACGAAGUAUUGGUAAUGUUCAUAUCUUUAUCUGAUACCAUUUGAGCUGUGAUAAUUAUAGUACAUACAAACCCUAGCUGUAGUUGUGAAUGGAAUUGAACAAAAGAAAGUCUUAACUGAAAUUCGGAAGAAAAACUCAAAGGAAAUUAAAACAGGUUGAGGAACAGUAAAAGUCUUCAAUUCCACUGUAGUCUUGGCCCUUCAUACAAAUUUCGUAAUUUUCUAUGAUAUUCUCGCGGAGGAUUUUAAAAGUUUUUUUUUCCAAGAACCCCUUCUGAAAUUCCUAAAUAACUGAGAGUCCUGAAGGAAGUCCUCCCGGUAUUCCACCUGAGAUUCCUUACAGAAUUUUUCAAGGAAUCAUUUCUGGAAUUCCUUCAGAAAUCCUCUUAAGAUUCUCACAGGUUUUUCUUUACGGGUUCGUUCCAUUGCUUUUUCUGGUAUUUUAUAAAGAUAGUCUUUUGAGAUAUGUGAGGUUUCUGAGAUUCACUUAGGGAAUCCUUCCGAGAAUACUCCAAAAACUUUUUCCGGUAUUCCUGCAUGAACUUCAUCCCAGAUUCCUACAGAAACAGCUUCUGGAAUUCUUUCAGGAACUGCUUCCGGGAUUGCUUCCUUCCUUUCGGGAUUCCUUCGAGAAUUCCUACCGAUAUUUCUACGAGAACACCUUCCGGGAUUCCGACAACAACCUCUUUCGAGAUUCCAGGAACUUCUUUCGGAAUUCCUUCGGAUCUUCUUCCGGGAGCUCUUCUUCUAGGAUUCCUCCUGGAACUUGUUUUGAGAUUCUUUUCGUCUUCUUCCUCCUUAUUCAUAAACUCCUUCCUGGAUUCCUGUGAAAAUUGCUUCCCGAAUUCCAUUGGGAUCUCCUACCAGAAUGUCCUUCCGGGAUCCCUCCGAGAACUCUUUCCGGGAAUCACUCCAGGCUUCAUUUGGGACUUCUUCUGGGACUUCUUUGGGGUCUCCUUCCGGGAUUCUUACAAAAACUUCCGGAACCCUUCCAAGAACCUUCCAGGAGCUUCUUACGGAAUUGUUUCAAAAACCACUUUCAGAUAUUCUUUUCAGGAACUUCAUCCAGGAUUCUUCUACGGACACUUUUCUGAAUUCCCCAAGGAGUUUCUUCUGGGGUUCUAGCAAUUCCUCCAGAAGUCUGCAAUUCUUCCAGAUGUUCCGUUGUACAUUCAGGAAUUGAUUACGAAAUUCCUCCUGGACUUUUGUGGCAUUAUUCAUGAUAUUACUCAAGGAAUUCCUUAUAAUCUUCCUACAGGAGUGGACUCCUCCAACAUUUUUUUUUAGGAAUUUCUCCAUCAGUAUUGUAAAAAACUCCCCCUGGAGUUGCUUCCGGGCGCUGGGAAGCUGGGAAGGUGAAAUGGUUCUCGAGCUCAAGCGUGAUAAAACCAGCAAGGGCGCGGCUACACAUAUUUGACGGAAAAGGUCCUUGGUGAGGUUGUCGAGUGAGAGCUGUCACCGCUGAAGCGAC